UCUCCGUAGGUGAACCAGCGGAGGGAUCAUUACAGCAAUCUCAAGCCUCCUACAACGCUGUGAACUUAACUAUAAGCACGUUGCUUGGGCGGGUGGCUCGGAGGGGAAUCCCCCUUUCUGAGUCGCUAAACCCAACGGCAGCCUACUAUAUUGUGUCUCUUUUCGCUUGUAUCUCUGGUUGAAUAAAACAAGGUAAAGAUUUCAACAACGGAACACUUGGAUCUGGCAUCGAUGAACAACACAGCAGAGCGGAAGAGCACACUGCUGAACUCCAGUCAC
rnacentral:misc_RNA from 1 species